AACGAACGCUGGCGGCAGGCUUAACACAUGCAAGUCGAACGCAUGCCUUCGGGCAUGAGUGGCAGACGGGUGCGUAACGCGUGGGAACCUACCCCUUGGUACGGGAUAGCUCCGGGAAACUGGAGAUAAUACCGUAUGUGUCCUGAGGGACAAAGAUUCAUCGCCAAGGGAUGGGCCCGCGUCGGAUUAGCUAGUUGGUGGGGUAACGGCCUACCAAGGCGACGAUCCGUAGCUGGUCUAAGAGGAUGAUCAGCCACAUUGGGACUGAGACACGGCCCAAACUCCUACGGGAGGCAGCAGUGGGGAAUAUUGGACAAUGGGCGCAAGCCUGAUCCAGCCAUGCCGCGUGAGUGAUGAAGGCCCUAGGGUUGUAAAGCUCUUUCACCGGUGACGAUAAUGACGGUAACCGGAGAAGAAGCCCCGGCUAACCUCGU
rnacentral:rRNA from 1 species